rnacentral:rRNA from 1 species
GUACCUACGGGGGGCAGCAGUGGGGAAUAUUGCACAAUGGGGGGAACCCUGAUGCAGCAAUGCCGCGUGGGUGAAGAAGCACUCCGGUGCGUAAAGCCCUGUCAGCAGGGAAGAAAAUGACAGUACCUGACUAAGAAGCCCCGGCUAACUACGUGCCAGCAGCCGCGGCAAUAAGUAGGGGGCAAGCGUUAUCCGGAUUUAGUGGGUGGAAAGGGAGCGCAGGCGGUAUGGCAAGUAAGGUGUGAAAACCCAG